rnacentral:rRNA from 1 species
GUCCACGCCGUAAACGAUGUCGACUAGCCGUUGGGAUCCUUGAGAUCUUAGUGGCGCAGCUAACGCAUUAAGUCGACCGCCUGGGGAGUACGGCCACAAGGUUAAAACUCAAAUGAAUUGACGGGGGGCCCGCACAAGCGGUGGAGCAUGUGGUUUUAAUUCGAAGCAACGCGAAGAACCUUACCUGGCCUUGACAUGCUGAGAACUUUCCAGAGAUGGAUUGGUGCCUUCGGGAACUCAGACACAGGUGCUGCAUGGCUGUCGU